rnacentral:ncRNA from 2 species
CUCUUAUCGAGAGAGGUGGAGGGACCGGCCCAAUGAAACCCAGCAACCCCCCUGAAAGGGGAAAGGUGCUAAUUCCUGAUAGAUAAGAG